rnacentral:rRNA from 1 species
UACGAAGGGGGCUAGCGUUGUUCGGAUUUACUGGGCGUAAAGCGCACGUAGGCGGAUCUUUAAGUCAGAGGUGAAAUCCCAAGGCUCAACCUUGGAACUGCCUUUGAUACUGGGGAUCUUGAGUCCGGGAGAGGUGAGUGGAACUGCGAGUGUAGAGGUGAAAUUCGUAGAUAUUCGCAAGAACACCAGUGGCGAAGGCGGCUCACUGGCCCGGUACUGACGCUGAGGUGGCGAAAGCGUGGGGAGCAAACAGG